rnacentral:rRNA from 1 species
UAAACCUUUCACUUACACCCCACCUCGCCCGGGCACUACGAGCCCAAACUUAAAACCCAAAGGACUUGACGGUGCCCCAUAUCCACCUAGAGGAGCCUGUCCUAUAAUCGAUGAUCCCCGUUUAACCUCACCACUUCUAGCCUACCAGCCUGUAUACCUCCGUCGUCAGCUCACCGCAUGAGCGCACUAUAGUGAGCACAAUGGAACCCUCCAAAACGUCAGGUCAAGGUGCAGCAAAUGAAGUGGCCAGAGAUGGGCUACAUUUUCUUAUACAGAAAACCACGGAAGACUUUUAUGAAAUCCCGUCAGAAGGCGGAUUUAGCAGUAAAGCAGAAACCAGAGAGUUCUCUUUAACAAGGCACAGGGGCAUGUACACACCGCCCGUCGCCCUCUUCAAUAAUAUACACAAAGUUAAUUACCUAAUACAGAUUAAAAGAAGAGGUAAGUCGUAACAUGGUAAGCAUACCGGAAGGUGUGCUUGGAA